rnacentral:rRNA from 1 species
GACGUAGGGCGCGAGCGUUGUCCGGAUUUAUUGGGCGUAAAGAGCUCGUAGGCGGCUUGUCGCGUCGUCCGUGAAAACCUGCAGCUCAACUGCAGGCUUGCGGUCGAUACGGGCAGGCUGGAGUUCGGUAGGGGAGACUGGAAUUCCUGGUGUAGCGGUGAAAUGCGUAGAUAUCUGGAGGAACACCGGUGGCGAAGGCGGCAUCCUGGACCGGUAUUGACGCUGAUGCGCGAAAGCCAGGGGAGCAAACGGG